rnacentral:rRNA from 1 species
AUUGAACGCUAGCGGCAUGCCUAACACAUGCAAGUCGAACGGAGUGGCGAACGGGUGAGUAAGGAAUCGGUAGGUGCCCAGUCGUGGGGGAUAACUACGCGAAAGCGUAGCUAAUACCGCAUACUAGCAGUGCGGCUGAUGUGGGAUUAGCUAGGUGGUGGGGGAACGGGUCACCAAGGCGACGACCCGUAGCUGGGUUGAGAGGAUGACCAGCCACACUGGGACUGAGACACGGCCCAGACUCCUACGGGAGGCAGCAGUGGGGAAUUUUGGACAAUGGGGGAAAGCCUGAUCCAGCCAUCCCGCGUGUGUGAAGAAGGCCUUCGGGUUGUAAAGCACUUUUGGCAGGGAAGCGUUACCGACAGAAUAAGCACCGGCUAACUACGUGCCAGCAGCCGCGGUAAUAC